rnacentral:rRNA from 1 species
UACGUAGGGUGCAAGCGUUGUCCGGAAUUAUUGGGCGUAAAGAGCUCGUAGGCGGCCAACUAAGUCAGACGUGAAAUCCCUCGGCUUAACCGGGGAACUGCGUCUGAUACUGGAUGGCUUGAGAUUGGGAGAGGGAUGCGGAAUUCCAGGUGUAGCGGUGAAAUGCGUAGAUAUCUGGAGGAACACCGGUGGCGAAGGCGGCAUCCUGGACCAACACUGACGCUGAGGAGCGAAAGCGUGGGGAGCGAACAGG